CAAGUUACUGCGUGAUCUCCAAAUUCUAACGUAACCCAAACUGACUCUAUGUUCGCCUCACUAACUUUUAUUAGGCUAGAUUUUAUGCUAUCCUUCACAUACAGGAACACCCCAUCUCCUUUCUUGCCUUCUCUGUCUUUUCUAUAUAAAGAGUACCCUGGUAUUGCUAUAACCCAGUCAUUUUUCUCAUUAUACCAUGUCUCAGUAACAGCCACUAAAAUGGAUCUUAUUCCCUAAAGUGCAAGCAUUUGUAGACAUGACUCUAAGCUUAUCAUUUUUUAACACACUCAUUACAGUUACUUUCUGUUUUUGUUUUGGGGGGUGGGGGGCAAUUGGAUUGAUGUUGUAUCACCCUUUUGUCCCCACUCCUAGUUUAAAU